ACCGAGCAGCCCCCGAGGAAAGCUGCCCAGUCCGUGUUUGGCUGGCAGUAGAGAUAACUGAAUUUCUUCGAGAAGCCUUUCACCCAGGCUUGUUGAGUUGCUCUGCUAAUGCGUAGCGAAGGCUGGAAACGGCUUCAGCAGUCUUCGUGUUUUCUGAAAUGUGGCAGUUUAUUAGGGGAGAGGAGGGACUUGGAAUAGACGACCCUACCUGUCACUCGCAUUCCUACGUGCAGCACUCUGUGGCACUUCGUUGCCCGUUUAGAUUGGCCGCUGCUAUCCAUCUUGCUCUCUGCUCCCACAUCAGCUUUCCUCAAAGCGGGCGGUAAAUUUGUCCCUAGUACUCUGCGCUCCCUACUCAGUAAAGUUCAACCCCUGGGGCCUUAGAUUCAUUCAGGGGCCUCCCACGAGUGGAUACGGGAUGGUCUGAGGUAGCCAUUGGUCUUUGACUUUCGGAAAAGCCUUCUCAUGGCUCCUCUCGCAGUAGAACAGUCUUCUCUGACCACUGGGUUGGGCAGGUGAGCAUGGCAGUGACAAUUCUCUGCCUGUGACAGCACUGAUUCGGCCAAGGGGCAGGCACUGAUCCACGCUGGGCCUUAUGGAGGCCUUGCCUGAAGCUGCUAUGUGGAUGCAGGAGGGGAGCAGAGGGAGUUUUCUACUGAGGCAAUUGCUGAUGGACGUGUUUCUUGCAACAUCGAGUGGCCUAGCCAAAGGUGAGGGUGUGAAAGAGAAGAAAGGAGAAAUGGAAAGGGAGAAAGAGCUGGCAGAAUGUAGACCGUGGUUUCAUUUGGAGGGCAUGGUUUGUGGAGCUCUUUAAGUGCUGUGAGCAUGUGAGCCUAAGUGGGUGAGCCCACUCAUUCAUUGAUUUAUUAUUUGGAGCCAAUAUGUGUGGAUAUUGAAUGUAUUUGUUGGCUGCCACUUGAGCAUUUAUUCCUUCCAUUUAAGCCAGGCAACAUAACCAUUCCCUCUAGCAGCAGAGAUGGUCACAAGCCCAGUCAGAAACAAUGAACCCACAAAGACUGGGGCUGAGGCUUCCAGUAAACUGUAGCUUCCUUGCUCCUCUAGCAUGGUGUAAGUAUAUGAUGCCUGGAAAUGUGGCAACCGUUUUCCUCCUAUAAGGGGAAACCCUAGAGGGAUGGGAGUUUAGAGGGACAGCAACAAGUAGAGCCUGGGGUUGAAGUCAGUACUGUCAAAUGAAUGCGGGAAAGAUGGAGAAGAACCUUGUGUUUGGUGGCAUGAUUUGAGCUGCAGUAUCAAACCUCACCUGUUUGAUUCUAUGGACUAUCCUAUAGACUAUUCGGGAUUGUGAGCAAGGCCAUCUUACAGACUAUCCAGAAUUGUGAACCACAAAUUUCCUGUACUGUUUAAGCCAGUUCAUAUUAAAAUUCUAAAAGUCCUAACU
rnacentral:lncRNA from 10 species